GACGAACGCUGGCGGCGUGCUUAACACAUGCAAGUCGAACGAUGAAGGGGAGCUUGCUCCUUGGAUUAGUGGCGAACGGGUGAGUAACACGUGAGUAACCUGCCCUGGACUCUGGGAUAAGCGCUGGAAACGGUGUCUAAUACCGGAUAGGACCUGGAACCGCAUGGUUUUGGGUGGUAAGAUUUUUUGGUUUGGGAUGGACUCGCGGCCUAUCAGCUUGUUGGUGAGGUAAUGGUUCACCAAGGCGUCGACGGGUAGCCGGCCUGAGAGGGCGACCGGCCACACUGGGACUGAGACACGGCCCAGACUCCUACGGGAGGCAGCAGUGGGGAGUAUUGCACAAUGGACGCAAGUCUGGUGCGGCGACGCCGUGUGAGGGAUGACGGCCUUCGGGUUGUAAACCUCUUUCGUCAGGGACGAAGCCGUGAGGUGACGGUACCUGGAGAAGAAGCGCCGGCCAACUACGUGCCAGCAGCCGCGGUAAGACGUAGGGCGCGAGCGUUGUCCGGAUUUAUUGGGCGUAAAGAGCUCGUAGGCGGCUCAUUGCGUCAACCGUGAAAACCAGCAGCUCAACUGUUGGCCUGCGGUUGAUACGGGUGGGCUGGAGUUCGGUAGGGGAGACUGGAAUUCCUGGUGUGGCGGUGAAAUGCGCAGAUAUCAGGAGGAACACCGGUGGCGAAGGCGGGUCUCUGGGCCGAUACUGACGCUGAAGAGCGAAAGCGUGGGGAGCGAACAGGAUUAGAUACCCUGGUAGUCCACGCUGUAAACGUUGGGCGCUAGGUGUGGG
rnacentral:rRNA from 1 species